CCCGCCUCCUCCCUCCUCCCUCCCUCCCUUCCCAUCUGCCACCCCCAUCGCCAUGGCCGCAGACCCCCGAAAAUGCCAGGGUCUUCCAUGUGGCCACACAGGAGCCGAGCUGCAGUGGACGCUGUGCCUUUGCAGCCAAGAAAUCCUCAUUCCUCAGGAAACUGACCUGUGCAGCCUCCCAGCUGAGGGCCUGAUUCCCCAGGUAUGUAGCUGAGGACAGCUGGACACUGUCAGGCCUGCACCUGGCCAGCUCCCUCCAUCUCCCCACCCUACCUCCCCGAGAGACCUUCUCCCAAAUUCUGCUGUCGGAGGUGGCCACGGGGCUCCGAACCACAGCCCUGAGCCCGGGAGGGGGUGUGGGCAGCAGGGCAGCAGCAGCCAGGCCCCUCCUUCUGCAACAUCUCCACAGCAUCUACCUGUGCCAGCGAUGGAACAGUUAGGGUUUUAAUCAGGAAAAUAUGUCGGUUCCCAAACGUUUUCUGUUAGAUGUCUCAGGAGGAGGCAUUGGCUUAUCUCACCCCCUGCCAUGACCCUCUGAAAAGGUUCUGGUAUUACCAGGUCACAGAGGGAGAGACCAAG
rnacentral:lncRNA from 1 species